rnacentral:rRNA from 1 species
CCUACGGGAGGCAGCAGUGAGGAAUAUUGGUCAAUGGGCGGAAGCCUGAACCAGCCAAGUCGCGUGAGGGAAUAAGGCCCUACGGGUCGUAAACCUCUUUUGCCGGGGAGCAAGGGCGGGGACGUGUACCGGCACGGAGAGUACCCGGAGAAAAAGCAUCGGCAAACUCCGUGCCAGCAGCCGCGGUAAUACGGAGGAUGCGAGCGUUAUCCGGAUUUAUUGGGUUUAAAGGAUGCGUAGGCGGGCUUGUAAGUCAGCGGUAAAAUCUCGGGGCUCAACCCCGCCCGGCCGUUGAAACUGGGGGCCUUGAGUGGGCGAGAAGAAGGCGGAAUGCGUGGUGUAGCGGUGAAAUGCAUAGAUAUCACGCAGAACCCCGAUUGCGAAGGCAGCCUUCCGGCGCCCUACUGACGCUGAGGCACGAAAGUGCGGGGAUCGAACAGGAUUAGAUACCCGAGUAGUC